rnacentral:rRNA from 1 species
GACGAACGCUGGCGGCGUGCUUAACACAUGCAAGUCGAACGGAACUCUUUGGAUCGAGACUUCGGUCAAGUGAAUCUGAGUUUAGUGGCGGACGGGUGAGUAACGCGUGAGGAACCUGCCUUUCAGUGGGGGACAACAGUUGGAAACGACUGCUAAUACCGCAUAAUGUUAUUUGGGGGCAUCCCUGAAUAACCAAAGAUUUAUUGCUGAAAGAUGGUCUCGCGUCUGAUUAGAUAGUUGGUGAGGUAACGGCUCACCAAGUCUGCGAUCAGUAGCCGGUCUGAGAGGAUGAACGGCCACAUUGGGAACUGAGAUUACGGCCCAGACUCCUACGGGAGGCAGCAGUGGGGAAUAUUGGGCAAUGGGGGAACCCUGACCAGCAACGCCGCGUGAAGGAGAA